rnacentral:rRNA from 1 species
GACAGAGGCCCCAAGCGUUAGGCGGAAUCACUGGGCUUAAAGCGUGUGUAGGCGGAUCGUUAAGUGUCUUGUGAAAUCCCACGGCUCACUCGUGGAACUGCUGGGCAUACUGGCGAUCUUGGGCCAACUAGGGGCAGUCGGAACAAGCGGUGGAGCGGUGAAAUGCGUAGAUAUCGCUUGGAACGCCGAAGGUGAAAACAGACUGCUGGGGUUGCGCCGACGCUGAGACACGAAAGCCAGGGGAGCAAACGGG